GUCUACGGCCAUACCACCCUGAACGCGCCCGAUCUCGUCUGAUCUUGGAAGCUAAGCAGGGUUGGGCCUGGUUAGUACUUGGAUGGGAGAAAAACCUUUCUUAAAGGAGCCAUAGCAU
rnacentral:rRNA from 1 species